rnacentral:lncRNA from 1 species
AUUCCUUUCCCCAAUGAUUCUAGGAACAAUCCUCACCGCCCUUUCAAUUCUAUCCAUAAGCCUCUAUCGAAGAAGCCAAUUAAACAAAAGAAAGAAAAGAGACGAUGGCCUUAUGCUUGAACAGCCUUCUUCUCAAAAGAAGCGAAGACGACUCGAAGAGGGAGAGGCCGAAGGGGGAAAUGGAAAUAAGGCGGAAGGAAAUGGGGAUGCACCUCUUCUUCAAGAAAAGGAGGAACAAAAGAAAGAAAAGAGACGAUGACCUUAUGCUUGAAAAACCUUCUUCUUAAAAUAAGUGAAGAUGACUCUAAGAGGGAGAGGCCGAAGGGGGUAAUGGAAAUAAGGCGGAAGGAAAUGGGGAUGCACCUCUUCUUCAAGAAAAGGAGGCUCCUAUAACCCUUGAAUUUGAAGGAAUUCA